rnacentral:rRNA from 1 species
UCGAUAGCAUGCGAGUCGAGAGUCCUCGGGACUCGGCGUACCGCUCAGUAACACGUGGGUAACCUCCCUUAUGCUGGGGAAUAACCUCGGGAAACUGAGAAUAAUGCCCCAUAUCCCACUACGCCUGGAACGGUGAGUGGGUCAAAGCUCCGGCGGCAUAGGAUGGGCCUGCGCCGUAUCAGGUUGUAGGGGGUGUAAAGUACCCUCUAGCCAUCAACGCGUACGGGUGUUGGGAGACAUUGCCCGGAGAUGGAUUCUGAGACACGAAUCCAGACCCUACGGGGUGCAGCAGGCGCGAAAACUUGGCAAUGCGAGAAAUCGUGACCAGGGAACUCCAAGUGCGUAGGGUAAGACCUACGCUUUUCUUGACUCUUCAAAGGUCUUGGAAUAAGGGGUGGGUAAGGACGGUGCCAGCCGCCGCGGUAAUACCGGCGCCUCAAGUGGUAGUCGCUUUUAUUGGGCCUAAAACGUCCGUAGCCGGUCUGGUGCAUUCGUGGGUAAAUCAACCCGCUCAACGGGUUGAAUUCUGCGAGCACGGCCAGACUUGGGACCGGGAGAGGUGUGGGGUACUCUCAGGGUAGGGGUAAUAUCC